rnacentral:rRNA from 1 species
AGAGUUUGAUCCUGGCUCAGAACGAACGCUGGCGGCGUGCCUAACACAUGCAAGUCGAGCGCGAAUAGGGGCAACCCUUAGUAGAGCGGCGCACGGGUGCGUAACACGUGGGUAAUCUGCCUGGAAGCCUGGGAUAACUAGCCGAAAGGUUAGCUAAUACCAGAUGAGACCACGGACUCUUCGGAGUCUGAGGGAAAAGGUGGCCUCUGUAUACAAGCUAUCACUUCCAGAUGAGCCCGCGGCCCAUCAGCUUGUUGGUGGGGUGAUGGCCUACCAAGGCGACGACGGGUAGCCGGCCUGAGAGGGUGUCCGGCCACACUGGGACUGAGAUACGGCCCAGACUCCUACGGGAGGCAGCAGUGGGGAAUAUUGCACAAUGGGCGCAAGCCUGACGCAGCGACGCCGCGUGAGGGAUGACGGCCUUCGGGUUGUAAACCUCUUUCAAUAGGGACGAAGCGUAAGUGACGGUACCUAUAGAAGAAGCACCGGCCAACUACGUGCCAGCAGCCGCGGUAAUACGUAGGGACCGAGCGUUGUCCGGAUUUAUUGGGCGUAAAGAGCUCGUAGGCGGCUAUCCACGUCGGAUGUGAAAGCUCAUGGCUCAACCGUGAGAGGCCAUUCGAUACGGGAUAGCUAGAGGUAGGUAGGGGAAAGUGGAAUUCCUGGUGUAGCGGUGAAAUGCGCAGAUAUCAGGAGGAACACCGGUGGCGAAGGCGGCUUUCUGGGCCUUACCUGACGCUGAGGAGCGAAAGCUGGGGGAGCAAACAGGAUUAGAUACCCCCGUAGUCC